AUACGGAGGGUCCAAGCGUUAUCCGGAUUCAUUGGGUUUAAAGGGUCCGCAGGCGGGAAAAUAAGUCAGUGGUGAAAGCCUACAGCUCAACUGUAGAACUGCCAUUGAUACUGUUUUUCUUGAGUAUAGAUGAAGUGGGCGGAAUAUAUCAUGUAGCGGUGAAAUGCAUAGAUAUGAUAUAGAACACCGAUUGCGAAGGCAGCUCACUAAACUAUUACUGACGCUCCGGGACGAAAGCGUGGGGAGCGAACAGGAUUAGAAACCCUAGUAGUCC
rnacentral:rRNA from 1 species